GCUUAGUGUCUCUUCGGAGGGGGUGUUUGGGUAAAAUGCUAACCUGCUCCUGAGCUCCUUUGCGAAUUCAGUUUGCUCUGUUUCCUGUGGAGCUGCUGCAGCGAUUGCUCUGUCCCCCUCCAUGAGUUCGGCCACAAGGGUAGCUUUCAUUUUAUUGCUAGCUAUUCUUCCCCUUGCCUCCAAUAAUUCCUUUAGCAUAGCCCGUUUUAAU